GUAGGUGGCAAGCGUUGUCCGGAAUUAUUGGGCGUAAAGCGCGCGCAGGGCGGUCCUUUAAGUCUGAUGUGAAAGCCCACGGCUCAACCGUGGAGGGUCAUUGGAAACUGGGGGACUUGAGUACAGAAGAGGAAAGCGGAAUUCCAAGUGUAGCGGUGAAAUGCGUAGAGAUUUGGAGGAACACCAGUGGCGAAGGCGGCUUUCUGGUCAGUAACCGACGCUGAGGCGCGAAAGCGUGGGGAGCAAACAGGAUUAGAUACCCUGGUAGUCCACGCCGUAAACGAUGAGUGCUAAGUGUUAGGGGGUUUCCGCCCCUUAGUGCUGCAGCUAACGCAUUAAGCACUCCGCCUGGGGAGUACGGCCGCAAAGGCUG
rnacentral:rRNA from 1 species